GUCCCUGCUUCUGGAGUCUGGCUCUAGCAGGCUCCCUGCUCCCUGCUCCCUGCACUUCAUGUGAUGUGGUGAACUCUGCUUGUCUGCAGGGCCCUCCAAUACAGGGUCGCUAUACUCAUGGCCAUGCGUCGGUGCACAGGAAGUGAUAAGCAAGUCUGUUUUGAGAGCUGACAGCUGCCACAAGCCCUUUCUACAGCAUCCCCUGGAUGAGAUGGAUCCACCCAGCGGUAACUAAGGAUGCUCCUUCAGUACAAAGGACAGUGCCCGAGGGCCGGCUGCUGACCCCAUCUCUAUGCCUAGCAACAGCCAC
ensembl:lncRNA